CAAACCAAAGCUGGCGACCGGCGCACGGGUGAGUAACACGUAUCCAACCUGCCUCAUACUCGGGGAUAGCCUUUCGAAAGAAAGAUUAAUAUCCGAUAGCAUAUAUUUCCCGCAUGGGUUUUAUAUUAAAGAAAUUCGGUAUGAGAUGGGGAUGCGUUCCAUUAGUUUGUUGGGGGGGUAACGGCCCACCAAGACUACGAUGGACAGGGGUUCUGAGAGGAAGGUCCCCCACAUUGGAACUGAGACACGGUCCAA
rnacentral:rRNA from 1 species